rnacentral:rRNA from 1 species
UACAGAGGUCUCAAGCGUUGUUCGGAUUCAUUGGGCGUAAAGAGCUCGUAGGCGGUCUGUCACGUCGGCUGUGAAAACCCGAGGCUCAACCUCGGGCCUGCAGUCGAUACGGGCAAACUAGAGUGUUGCAGGGGAGACUGGAAUUCCUGGUGUAGCGGUGAAAUGCGCAGAUAUCAGGAGGAACACCGGUGGCGAAGGCGGGUCUCUGGGCAACAACUGACGCUGAGGAGCGAAAGCGUGGGGAGCGAACAGG